rnacentral:rRNA from 1 species
AAUCAACACUGGCGGCGUGCCUAACACAAGCAAGUCGAACGAGAAAGUGGAGCAAUCCAUGAGUACAGUGGCGACCGGGUGAGUAACACGUGACCAACCUGCCCUCGAGUGGGGAAUAGCUCCGGGAAACCGGAGCUAAUACCGCAUAACAUCGCAAGAUCAAAGCCGCAAGGCGCUUGAGGAGGGGGUCGCGGCUGAUU